GACGAACCGUACAAACGUUAUUCGGAAUUACUGGGCUUAAAGGGUGCGUAGGCGGCGGAGAAAGUUGGGUGUGAAAUCCCUCGGCUCAACCGAGGAACUGCGCCCAAAACUGCUUUGCUUGAGGGAGACAGAGGUAAGCGGAACUUAGGGUGGAGCGGUGAAAUGCGUUGAUAUCCUAAGGAACACCAGUGGCGUAAGCGGCUUACUGGGUCUCUUCUGACGCUGAGGCACGAAAGCUAGGGUAGCGAACGGG
rnacentral:rRNA from 1 species